rnacentral:lncRNA from 10 species
UAUCUCCUUUGGGGCUGAGAGUCCAGAGGUCUCUGGAAGCUUAUUUAUUUCACUGGCAACAUGCUCCUCUGUCAGUUUUUUAUUUGGUGGUGCAGUUCAUUCUUUAUUCCAGUAGGUGUCACUUAAGAGUAAGAGCCAGCUUUCCCUUAGGUAACCCAGUAAGGAGUGGAGGCUUCCACCCUAACGGGGAGUGAUGGGGAAAGAGAUGGCCUUGGGAUGGGCUGAGGUCUUGAGGGAAGGGGCACCAGCUCCUCAUCCUGCAUGCCUUAUUUAUUAAGAACCCAAUUAGCAUCUGAGAAUUGUUGCCACGAGUCAGGUGACCAGAUGCCUUAAGAAUAUCUGUUCUCUUACCUUGCUGCUUCUUCCAUUUGGGCUUUACCUCUUCUUUCCCACUCCUCCAUCCACGGUGGAAAAAAAGAAAAAGAAAGAAAGAAAGAAGGAAGGAAGGAAGGAAGGAAGGAAGGAAGGAAGGAAGGAAGGAAGGAAGGAAGGAAGGAAGAAAGAAAGAAAGAAAGAAAGAAAGUGAAAGAAAGAAAGGAAAGAAAGAAAAAGAAAAGAAAAGAGGCGCCAUGAGCUUGUCACCUUCUCUAAUGGAGGAAGAGAACCUGUAUUCUGAUGGAUCAGCUGGUGCCACCCAGAUCAGUAAACUGGCUCAUCUGUUCCUGUGGCCGCCUCCCAGGAACUGACUCAGGGCAAGAGGACAGCUUCAAAUCCCUGUGAUUCCAUCCCUAACUCAACCAAUCAGCAUCCCCUAGUCCCUUACCUGCCAAGCUAUCUUUAAAAAAACCAUAGCACCUGAAUUUUUAAGGAAACUAAUUUGAGGCAGAUCUUAAUAUAAAUCUGGUAUCCUGUGUAGCUGGCUUUGCAUCUAU